UUUUAUAUGUAUUUGACUAUGGUUCUGGAUGAAUGCGCGCGAAAUGCCUGACACAUGCUAGCUAUUAGAUAUAAAAAGUACUUUUAUAUCUUAGAUUUACAUUUAUAGCUUAAGGGUGCGUAAUGUGUGAUUAUUUUCUUAAUAGUUUUUUAUAAGAAUAUAAACAUUUGUAAACAUUUUUAAAUUUUUUUAAAAUUUUAUAAUGUUUUUAAUAAAAUAAACAACUGGUUUUAACUAUUAAAUAAUAUCAUAUAAGAUUAGGAUUUUAAUUUUAUAAUUUUAGCCUUUGAUCUUUAACUGGUCUUAACGGUCGGCCAGUCACCUGGGGUUUGAAAUAACCCCGCCAUAGGCAGCAGUGAGGAAUUUUAGUCAAUGAAUUAAAGUUUGAACUAGCGUUUUCGUGAGAGUUAUUAUUUUUUUAAUAAAUAACUUAUCCAUAGGGUUUAAUAAUGCUAAACCUUAGUUUGAGAGUUUCGGACUAAAGAUGUGCCAGCAGUCGCGGUAAUACAUCGACGAAAAAGCAUUAUCGGUCUUGACUGGGUGUAAAGUAUAACUAAACAUUUUAAGAAAUUACAAUAUACAAUAAGGAUUGAACAGGUAUUAUUGUAAUACCUUAAUUAUAGAAUUAUUGGGAUGUAAGUAAUGAGUAUAUUACAAGGUUAAAAUCUGAUGUGAUAAUAUAUAGAUUUCCAAAGACCACGGUAACUUACUACUGAUAAUUGUCGUUGAAUUAUGAAAGUAUGGGUAUCGAUCAGUAUUUGACACUCUGGUAGUCCAUACUGUUAAUUUAUGGGUGUUAUAUAAUGCUAAUUUAUCAUUAUAUAAGCUUACGCGUAAACACCUCACCUGGGAAAAAAUCGCAAGAUAGGGUACUUAAUGAGAUUGGCGGGAGUUUG
rnacentral:rRNA from 1 species